rnacentral:rRNA from 1 species
AUGUACAAAGGCGCCAAAGGCGGUUGCAGUGUGGUACUUGAGGCGGUGGCCACACAGGACCUCUGGAUUUGGCACUCCUUCUUUGGUAUACCAGGAACUCACAAUGACAUCAACGUGCUGCAGUGCUCUCCUGUCUUUGCCAAGCUUGUUGAAGGUCAUUCUCCUCCGGUGAACUUCGAGAUCAAUGGGCGGCACUACAACAAGGGGUACUAUCUAGCUGAUGGCAUCUAUCCGAGAUGGUCGACAUUUGUGAAGACGAUCUCAAACCCUGUGCCAGGAGGCAAGAACGCCUGGUUUGCGAAGAUUCAGGAGGCUUGCAGGAAGGAUGUCGAGCGGGCAUUUGGUGUGCUCCAAUCUCGAUUUGCUGUUGUCCGGUACCCCGCUCAGACCUGGUCCAAAGAUCAAAUGUGGGAGAUUAAGACUUGCUGUGUCAUCUUGCACAACAUGAUCAUCGAGAGCGAGCAAGAAGACCCAGUGUUUGACACUGAACCAUACUACAACGAGGGUCCUCUAGCCGAAGUUGAUCACCAGCUACCGGCAACCUGGACUGCCUAUCUCAGUAUGCGUCAGGAGAUCUGA